UACGUAGGGGGCAAGCGUUGUCCGGAUUUAUUGGGCGUAAAGAGCGUGUAGGCGGCCAGGGAGGUCCGUUGUGAAAACUCGAGGCUCAACCUCGAGACGCCGAUGGAAACCCCCUGGCUAGAGUCCGGAAGAGGAGAAUGGAAUUCCUGGUGUAGCGGUGAAAUGCGCAGAUAUCAGGAAGAACACCCGUGGCUAAGGCGGUUCUCUAGUACGGUACUGACGCUGAGACGCAAAAGCGUGGGGAGCGAACAGG
rnacentral:rRNA from 1 species